UACGUAGGGUGCGAGCGUUAAUCGGAAUUACUGGGCGUAAAGCGCGCGCAGGCGGUCUUCCAAGUCAGUGGUGAAAGCCCGGAGCUCAACUCCGGAACUGCCAUUGAAACUGUAAGACUUGAGGAUGAGAGAGGUGAGUGGAAUUCCCAGUGUAGAGGUGAAAUUCGUAGAUAUUGGGAAGAACACCGGUGGCGAAGGCGGCUCACUGGCUCAUAUCUGACGCUCAGGCGCGACAGCGUGGGGAGCAAACAGG
rnacentral:rRNA from 1 species